rnacentral:rRNA from 1 species
UGGGGAAUAUUGGACAAUGGGCGAAAGCCUGAUCCAGCCAUGCCGCGUGUGUGAAGAAGGUCUUCGGAUUGUAAAGCACUUUAAGUUGGGAGGAAGGGCAGUAAGCGAAUACCUUGCUGUUUUGACGUUACCGACAGAAUAAGCACCGGCUAACUCUGUGCCAGCAGCCGCGGUAAUACAGAGGGUGCAAGCGUUAAUCGGAAUUACUGGGCGUAAAGCGCGCGUAGGCGGCUAAUUGAGUCGGAUGUGAAAUCCCCGAGCUUAACUUGGGAAUUGCAUUCGAUACUGGUUAGCUAGAGUGUGGGAGAGGAUGGUAGAAUUCCAGGUGUAGCGGUGAAAUGCGUAGAGAUCUGGAGGAAUACCGAUGGCGAAGGCAGCCAUCUGGCCUAACACUGACGCUGAGGUGCGAAAGCAUGGGGAGCAAACAGG